UUGAUGAGAGGCAAAGCAGAAACACAACUGUGGGUGAACGGCUUCUUGAGGAGUCAUCUUUGGCUCGGUCAGUCUGAGAGCCUGAUUGGUUCCUGAGGCGGCGUGAGCGUGCGGUGUGUGUGUGUGUGUGUGUGUGUGCUCAUGUCAUGAGGAGCCGGUGCACACACUGCAGCUGAUGCUGAGACAGCACGAGGGAGUGUGUGUGUGUGUGUGUGUGUGCUCAUGUCAUGAGGAGCCGGUGCACACACUGCAGCUGAUGCUGAGACAGCACGAGGGAGAGUGUGUGUGUGUGUGUGUGUGUGUGUGAGUGUGUGCUCAUGUCAUGAGGAGCCGGUGCACACACACUGCAGCUGAUGCUGAGACAGCACGAGGGAGUUGAGUGUAUGUGUGUGUGUGUGUGUGUGUGUGUGUGUGUGUGUGCUCAUGUCAUGAGGAGCCGGUGCACACACUGCAGCUGAUGCUGAGACAGCACGAGGGAGGGAGUGUGUGUGUGUGUGUGUGUGUGUGUGUGUGUGUGUGUGUGUGUGUGUGUUCAUGUCAUGAGGAGCCGGUGCACACACUGCAGCUGAUGCUGAGACAGCACGAGGGAGUGUGUGUGUGUGUGUGUGUGUGUGUGCUCAUGUCAUGAGGAGCCGGUGCACACACUGCAGCUGAUGCUGAGACAGCACGAGGGAGUGUGUGUGUGUGUGUGUGCUCAUGUCAUGAGGAGCCGGUGCACACACUGCAGCUGAUGCUGAGACAGCACGAGGGAGAGUGUGUGUGUGUGUGUGUGUGUGUGUGAGUGUGUGCUCAUGUCAUGAGGAGCCGGUGCACACACACUGCAGCUGAUGCUGAGACAGCACGAGGGAGUUGUAUGUGUGUGUGUGUGUGUGUGUGUGUGUGUGUGUGUGCUCAUGUCAUGAGGAGCCGGUGCACACACUGCAGCUGAUGCUGAGA